rnacentral:tRNA from 1 species
CAGGGUGUAGCUACAAAAUUAAAGCACUCAGCUUACACCUGAGAGAUAUCUGCCACCAACCAGAUCACCCUGA